ACAUCGCUCCGUGAGCCCUCUUUACCUCGUCGAUGUCUACGUGGGGAUUUGUUACUACGACAAAAUAUUUCAUCUUCAUUUACUCAUGUAAUUAAAUUUGUGAUUUUUUGCCUUAUGAUUGUCUUUAUCCUCACUACGUGGAAGUGAUACCGUGUAUACGACAAAAACACGUUCAGAAUUUUACGUACAGAUAAAUAAAUAACCGCUGAGAAUCGCCUCGUUUCAAGUGAGUCAGCGAUAGAGAAUAUUUGCUACUACGUCUGGCGCCCAGACAUCCGGUUGCCUCAUGCAUUCAAGUUUGAUCAUGGCAUUACGCACUGAAAUGCUUUCGAGCUGAGCGCCAAUUCUAUGGUGGAAGUAUGGGAAUAUGGAGUAUGGGGUUGGUGCAUGGUAACGUUGAACUGAUUGCCACACUUAUCCAUACCAAGUAUCCAACUGUAACCCAUCUAGGUCUGUAUAUAGUUGGUAUAAAGGAGGUGGAAAAGCGAAAGAGAAAAUGCCUUCUUUUCUCGUUUUCUUAUACCGGGUGUCCCACUCGAAUCAACCCACUUAAAUACCUCCGGAGGAAGGUACCUCAUCAUUCAUGUCAAUUCCUGCGUUGUUACUCAGAAAAUGUGACGAAGAUAAGGUCUCAAGGUAUCAAACUGAAGAUUCCGACUUUCUUAGGGUGACUCAGGAUGCACCACGUGAGGAAAAGUCUACUCGCAUCCCUUGCGGUAAAAAAAAGUGAGAAAAAAUAGCGUCAACAUGUGUGAAGGUUUAUGCACGUAUUGCCAGUCAACAGUGGCAUCAUCAAACAACUCAUGAACUCAUCAAGACGAACAAGAUUCAGUGGGGUGACGAAAGUUCCCCACACUUGCAGAUUGCAAACAUGCCCUUGAAAGAUGGAGUUUACGUUUAUUGCAGCGAAGACCAUGUCGACGGACGUGACGUAUCGAAUUUUUACGGUGGUAGAGAUCGGAGAUUUUUUAGGUAUUACCCAGGUAGGAAUUGACGGUGGAAACCGGACUCAUCAAGCCUUGAAACAAGGCUCACAAUCUCUUACUCAGGCUUGGGAUUCACACGUGGAUAAGGCUUCAUCCAGCCUUGCAAAUGAUAACCCGAAUUCAGGCUGGGAAUGCGAGGCCUGUUUGAAGCCUCGUGGGGAGGCCUGAACGAAGCAUCGGAAAAUCAAAUUACGAGGGCUGAAAUAAGGCCCAAAUUAAGAUUUAUGAAGGCUCCACGGCCUUAUUAACGAGGGUUCCGCCAGUCUCGUUCUAAGGGUGAUCUAAGCCGGACCUUCGUUCACACAUAGUGUCGUUUGACACAUUUUGGGCCACUAUUUAUAACAGUGGAUAGCUGCAAAAUAGGUGAAACAAUUGCAAAGUAACUUUGAAGAAAUUUUGGGUCCAUGACUGCUGUAAUUUCCAAAGAUAAUUGACGGUAAUGAUACCAAUGAGAUGGAAUUUAUUUAUUAGCUAAAUUUACCAUCGGAAUUCAAGAGAGGAAAAAUAAGUACAUUAUUUUAUUGUUAAGAAGGUAAUCCGAAAUCAAUCUCUUAAUCGGUGAAAUUUCACUCAUAUCUUGACAAUAAGGUACCUUGCAUCGCUCAUCCUUGUCGUAAAGAAUCCAUAAGGGUUAAUACUUAUCAAUAUAAAUAAAAAAUAAAUAACUAAAGAGCAGGGAAAAAUGAGGAUUGAUUUAGCCUUUGUGAAGCCUUGAUAAUUUCAGCCUGCAAAUUCAGGGCCCUAGCCAGGCUUGAAAUGACCCUCGAGAAUUGGAUCAUCACUAGUCCUCGAUUCAAGCCCGUUUCUGACAAUGAGGUCAGGUCUGUUUCAGGCUUGUGGUACGUAGGUUUGUCUAAACAAGGCGUGUACAGGCCUCUUUCGAUCGUCAGCCUUGGUUUUUCUUACCUGGGUAGAAAAUACCGAGGUGCGACAGCUCCAUCCUGGGAGAUCCAGCGCGGAAGCAAUCUUGAUUCCAUCGGUGAAUCCUAUACAUAUGUAUAGAUCCCACUUAAGCCGCACAUGCUCCUUCGAAUCCUUCUCAAUCCAAUCUUGGAAGAGUCUUGUUCUUCCAGGCUGGAGGGCCCAGGGUUGA